rnacentral:rRNA from 1 species
UACGUAGGGGGCAAGCGUUAUCCGGAUUUACUGGGUGUAAAGGGAGCGUAGACGGUUAUGUAAGUCUGGAGUGAAAGCCCGGGGCCCAACCCCGGGACUGCUUUGGAAACUGUGUAACUGGAGUACAGGAGGGGCAGGCGGAAUUCCUGGUGUAGCGGUGAAAUGCGUAGAUAUACGGAGGAACACCAGUGGCGAAGGCGGCCUGCUGGACAAUAACUGACGCUGAGGCGCGAAAGCGUGGGGAGCAAACAGG